rnacentral:rRNA from 1 species
GACGAACGCUGGCGGCGUGCUUAACACAUGCCAGUCGAACGGAAAGGCCCUGCUUUUGUGGGGUGCUCGAGUGGCGAACGGGUGAGUAACACGUGAGUAACCUGCCCUUGACUUUGGGAUAACUUCAGGAAACUGGGGCUAAUACCGGAUAGGAGCUCCUGCUGCAUGGUGGGGGUUGGAAAGUUUCGGCGGUUGGGGAUGGGCUCGCGGCUUAUCAGCUUGUUGGUGGGGUAGUGGCUUACCAAGGCUUUGACGGGUAGCCGGCCUGAGAGGGUGACCGGCCACAUUGGGACUGAGAUACGGCCCAGACUCCUACGGGAGGCAGCAGUGGGGAAUAUUGCACAAUGGGCGGAAGCCUGAUGCAGCAACGCCGCGUGCGGGAUGACGGCCCUCGGGUUGUAAACCGCUUUCGCCUGUGACGAAGCGUGAGUGACGGUAAUGGGUAAAGAAGCACCGGCUAACUACGUG